rnacentral:lncRNA from 1 species
CUGCUAAAUGUUAGACUGUGUGUCUAAGCACACAAUAGGUCCAGACAGCCCUCACACAUACCACUUAAUUCACACUUUACAUUUACAUUUACAUUUAGUCAUUUAGCAGACGCUUUUGUCCAAAGCGACGUACAAUGGAGAGAACAGUCAAGCUAAGAGCAAUAAAGAACAUGGUGUAACAAUAAAUACUACUUUACAUAAGAAUUAGAAAAACAACCUAGAAAGGAAAAAAAAACUUCAGGUACAGCCGCGCCUGUGACACUGUAAUUGACCCUGAAUGGCCCAUUAAGCUGAAGUGAUCAGACCCUAGCCUGGUAGCUAGUAAAUUAGUAUAAAAUAAGUAUAAAAUGAAUAACUAUUAACUAAUUACACACGCUUACUUUGACAGUCACACACUGUCAUCAUGUAAACACACACACCUACGAAACAAACUCACUCGUAGGAGAACACACACUCUCAAAUAUACACCAAACUCUCUCAAAUAUACUCAACCACUCGCUCAAAUAUACCCAAACUCUCUCAAAUAUACCCAACCGCUCUCUCAAACACUCUCAAAUAUACUCCAAACACUCUCAAAUACACUCAACCACUCUCUCAAAUAUACCCAAACUCGCUCAAAUACACCCAAACACUCUCAAAUAUACUCAAAUAUACCCAAACACUCUCAAAUACACCCAAACACUCUCAAAUACACUCAAAUAUACCCAAACACUCUCAAAUACACCCAAACACUCUCAAAUACACUCAAAUAUACCCAAACACUCUCAAAUACACCCAAACACUCUCAAAUACACUCACAUAUACCCAAACACUCUCAAAUACACCCAAACACUCUCAAAUACACUCAAAUAUACCCAAACACUCUCAAAUACACUCAACACUCAACCACUCUCUCAAAUAUACCCAAACACACACUCAAAUAUACAAAAGCGUGGUCUCAAAUACACACACACAUCCAUUCGUGCUUUGAAAGACACAUGCUUUCACACAGAAACACACACACACACACACACACACACACACACACACACACACACCAGGCUGUUCCAGUCCGAGGAGGGAGAGCAAACACCUUGCGGU